rnacentral:sRNA from 1 species
GCUGGGCGCAAUGGCACAUGCCUGUAAUCCCAGCAUUCAGGGAGGCAGAGGCAGGCAAAUCUCUAAAUUCUAGGCCAGCCUGGUCUACAAAGUGAGUCUAGGAUAGCCAAGACUACACUGAAAAACCCUGUCUUG